rnacentral:rRNA from 1 species
CCUACGGGAGGCAGCAGUGGGGAAUAUUGCGCAAUGGGCGAAAGCCUGACGCAGCGACGCCGCGUGAGGGAUGAAGGUCUUCGGAUCGUUAACCUCUGUCAGCAGGGAAGAACGGUCACUGUGCUAAUCAGCAGUGAAUUGACUGUACCUGCAAAGGAAGCACCGGCUAACUCCGUGCCAGCAGCCGCGGUAAUACGGAGGGUGCGAGCGUUAAUCGGAAUUAUUGGGCGUAAAGCGCUCGUAGGCGGUAUGUCAAGUCAAAGGUGAAAUCCCCGCGCUCAACGUGGGAACUGCCUUUGAAACUGGUAAACUGGAGAGUGUGAGAGGAUGGUGGAAUUCAAGGUGUAGGAGUGAAAUCCGUAGAGAUC